rnacentral:tRNA from 1 species
GCCCUUUCUGGUUCGCGAGGAGGCGUGAUCGGGCUGGUGACCCGGUCCGCGCGCGCGGACGGGGUCGGCCCGCGCGGUGGCUCCGCGCGGGGAGCU